UGCAAUGCAACAUACCUCUAAAACAGCAGCCUGGCAAUUUGACGUUUCCAGUAAAGACUUCUUUAAACACAGGAUCGUUAUUUAACUCAGAUUGUUGAAAUGUAGUUCCAUUACAAUCGGGUCAGUACCUACAGAAAUUAAAGAAACUUCAACAAGUACCGCAGGCGAGUGUCAGAUCCAAAACAAGCUGGCUGGCUAUUUGCACAAGACGUUCUCCACCGCAGCAGAGAGUGUGGACAUCAGACAAGACAAGGAGUUGCAAGACCGAACUUUAGUUAAAUUCUACAAGAGACACAACGUUCGGUGGGCGUCACCACUUCAAAGCAAACUUCAAGGUAGUCACUGGGGAUGUUGCAACAGUGGGGUCGACCGUCACAUGAUGUGAUGUGAAGUGGAUUCCAUAUAAACUUAGCUUCUACUGACUAUUCUCUGCUCAAAGGAUGUGUGGCCAUCACCAAAAUCUUCAAGGGUGAGCCUGAUCACCUCACCCCUCAGUUUCAGAUGAACUGCUUGACAACAAUGUUCACCGUCGCACGCCAUUCCUUUAUUGCAUCGUGGCCGAGUUUCCUAGGGCUUAGCCCAGCCAUUAUUCACAUUCUCUUCGGAGGUUUGUUGGAGAAUACUUCCUGACCUUGACAUCCGUGACACUGAACAUGCUGGAUGGAGAUGCGGAAUUAAAAUAAUUUGACUCAAUCCAUCAGCUCUGCCUGUCGUGGAACCUGCCAGAUCCAAAUGCCACCAACAGGAAAUGGCUGUCUGAAAAGCUUCUCUUGCAUGCUAUGAUCUUGGAUUGCAUCACAUGGCCAUCAUCUAUAACUGUCAUCCUCGAGAGCUACAAAGUCGAACACCAAGACGUGUCUGAUGUCAUAGAUGUAUUUUGAGUAUCUGGCUACUUGAAAACAUUUAUUGAAAAUGUGCCUCCUGCUCAGCUAAAGAGCCUCAUUAUGUUCUGGACAGGAUGGGAGGUGUCAGCCACAGGGAUGAAGGUGGAAAUAGCAGAUACCACACUUCUGACAGCUUCACCAUGUUUUGAAAAGCUGAGGCUGCCGAGGCAUUACACAGCAUACAAAACAUUUCAUCAAGACUUGUGCAUGCAUAUCAACCAGUUACAGCGGUUUUGGCUCUGCUUGACAGAAAUAAUGUUCACUUUAAAUGAAUUUACAUUGAAUGUGCCAAUGUAUAAUAUGUACAAUAAACCCACUUUUGACUACUUG